rnacentral:rRNA from 1 species
AGUGAACGCUGGGGUAGGCCUAACACAUGCCAGUCGAACGGCAGCACAGUAAGAGCUUGCUCUUACGGGUGGCGAGUGGCGGACGGGUGAGGAAUACAUCGGAAUCUACUUUUUCGUGGGGGAUAACGUAGGGAAACUUACGCUAAUACCGCAUACGACCUACGGGUGAAAGCAGGGGAUCUUCGUACCUUGCGCGAUUGAAUGAGCCGAUGUCGGAUUAGCUAGUUGGCGGGGUAAAGGCCCACCAAGGCGACGAUCCGUAGCUGGUCUGAGAGGAUGAUCCGCCACACUGGAACUGAGACACGGUCCAGACUCCUACGGGAGGCAGCAGUGGGGAAUAUUGGACAAUGGGCGCAAGCCUGAUCCAGCCAUACCGCGUGGGUGAAGAAGGCCUUCGGGUUGUAAAGCCCUUUUGUUGGGAAAGAAAAGCAGCAGGUUAAUACCCCGCUGUUCUGACGGUACCCAAAGAAUAAGCACCGGCUAACUUCGUG